CUAAAGAUACACAUGAAGAUCCAUACAGUGAAGAAACCACAUCAACACAGUCUGAAAUCAUGCUCCUGUGAUUCUGGAUCCAAUCUCUGUGAAUCCACGUCUUGUCCUGUCUGAUGAUCCGACCAGUGUGAGACACGAAGUCAUGUCUGGAUAAAGUUCGGGUGAGGAACACGUUCAGCUCUUCCACUCCGAGGAAAAGAAGUAAAGACUGGACUGGUAGUAAGUCCAUCCGUCUACAGUACAGACACAACCAGUUCAUGCAGAGAAAUCACUUUUUUCUGCCAUUUGUUUAGUGUUAAUUUUGUUAACGAAAACUAAACGAAAAUAUUUUCGUCAACGCACAUUUUUCACCGAACGAAAACUAGACGAG